rnacentral:tRNA from 1 species
GUUUAAAUAAUUUAAAUAAAAUAUUAGAUUGUGAUUCUAGAAAUAAGAGUUAAAUUCUCUUUUUAAACC